UGAACAAGAUUAAAUAUCGAAUAAACAUCUCAAUAGUUGAUGGAUCUUUUGCGUCGCAAUCAAAAAAGCCAGCUUGAUAUAUGUGCACUUUAGAUAUUCCCAAUGUAUACCAACACUUGUAAGUCUUGUUUACCUCAAAUUUAUCCUUUGUCAACCAUGCACCAGAGAAGUUUGGUCUACAAUCAGAUGGAAGGGCCUCAUUAGGUGCCUCUGCCAGCGCAGAUCGUGCCUGACCUGAAUGAUCCACGUAUUCGACCUUAAAUACAGAAGCCCAAUAGUAAUCGUAAUGACAUCGAAACUUUUUCCUUUCAGAAGGGUAUAGAACAUGCUUUGCCUUAUAAUUCAACAAGCCCAGUUCACAGACUUUAGAUGACCUUAGAUCCACACUGCUAGAGACAAUUUUGCAUUGAGACGGAAGAGAUAUUGGACUGGAAAUCGACAGGUUCCCAAGAAAAACAGCUAAAUAAAGCACUGAAAAUGAUAUUGUAAAGAAGGCACAGAAAAAGACAAGAAUCCCCAAUACUCUGCGCAACCGAGCUGACCCACUAAUCUCCUUUCUCUUCUCUUCUACCUCCUCCGGAUUUUCCACCAAAUCCAUGGAAGCUGAAAGUUUUGCAGAAUUGCAGUAGAGAAAAACUAGUAGGUGGGUGAUUUACGGUUAGAUUGGGAAAUCAAGAAGGGUUCCGGCAGCCGGAGAUGUCAUCCGGUGAUCGGAAUAUUAAAUGUUUUGGUUCAAUUGAAGAUAUUUUUCAGGGAUUUUGCCGUCAGUCUUUUCCACUCAGGUUCAG
rnacentral:misc_RNA from 1 species